UUGCACAAGUUCAGGCUAUUUUGAGUAUGAGGCUUCUGUGAGAUGAGGAUUAAUUACCUACCUUGCGUUAAGACCAGUCGGAACAUUUUUGCUUUGAACGAUGACCUUGGUAAUAAUCAUCCCAAUGUCACAAAAUCCAGAAUCAGAUUUGUUUGGUUUUUUUUGUUUGCUCGUUUUGUGUGUGUGUGUUUUGUUUUUAUUGCAUCCCAAGCUGUCAGCUGACUUGCAAGAAUAACCAAUUUUCCUGCCUUAAAGUGUGUGUUGUGGGUGAUGAUACCAUUUGCACAAUACAUAGCUUUAGGGAUUGCACUAAUGCAGUUAAGCAGGAUGAUUUAUUUCUUGCACAUUUCUUGCAUGAACUAAUUUGCAGAUUAUUUCUCAUUGUGCUUCUCUAAAGGACAGUUAAAGCUAUAUGUAAGCUGAGCCAGAAUUCCUGUGCCUGGCGGUGCUGAUGGAGAAUUUUAUGGAAGGCUGAAGGGAAGCCAGAACUCCUAUUUUUAAUGCAAUGAAGCAUUGAGUGUUUUCUAAUCUUUGUUAUAUUUAACUGGUAUAGAUAACAUAUGCUUUCAUAUUCUGUAUUAUCAGUAUGAUUUAGUAUACAGUGUCAAUAAAAUUAUAUAGUUUGCUGUUUAUAUGUUAUAUUGAUAAUAAGUGCAGUGAGAGAAGGACCAAGAUUUUUGUGUUUGUUUGGUUAACAUUCUGAAAGGCUUCUCCCUUAUAUUUUGUACUGAGAGAAGUAUUCUGAAGUGCCGUGGCUGUGUUUGACAUUUAACAUGGAAAAGAUUGGUUGCACAGAGAAAAGUGUGAUAACAUUUAGAGAAGAUAUCAACACAUACAGAUGUCGUAGUCAUUUGCGUUUCUUCUCUUUUUAUGAAAUCGUGAAUUUUCAUUUAAUGGGCUUUUUCCCCCCCCGCCUCUUCUAAGAGAGGUGAAGUUUGGUUUGUAGAGAUGACCACUAUCUUUAGAUUGGCUGCAGCACAUGAUGUCCUCUUCGUCAUCAGACAGUACCGAGGGAAGCAUGGGGAAAAAGAGCAGCUGAAAACUAGGGACAUGCAGUUCUCAGUCAUUAACACUGCUUGAGAAACUAUUAGUAAUUGAGCAUGAAACAUGUUUGGCUUCAGUUCAGUUACAAAUGCCUGUCAACAAUGUGAAGCAAGCUGCCUCCCUCCACCUUGCUUGGCAAAUGCAGAGUUUUCUGAGAGCUGGCACUUCAAGUCCAGCACUGCUUCCAUGCACAUGGAGCCACUGCCAUGGCUGUGGUCACUACUGCUCUGACAUGCUGUUAUGGAGAGGAGAUGCUGACGACCAAAAAUGAAUUCUUCCUUCUUUUCUUUUGGCUGGUGAGCUGAUGAAUCAAUUAUUCCCACAGCUCUAAUUAUCAUUCAUAGAAUGUAUAUUUUUUUCAGAAAAUAAAGUUAUUGCCUCAGCUGUCAGUUCCCUUUGGGCUUAACCUUUCAAAGUGAAAUUGCAGGUGUUUGUUCUCUCAAAGCUUUCAAAUUGUUCACCAAAGUAUGAAACGGCGGGAAAGUAAUAAUGAAUAAGGGAGCCUUCUGGCUUUUAAUCAGUCUCCUGACAUAAAAAGACAUUGGUUCCUGUGUAAUUGCUGUACAUAAUUACAAAAAUUAGGUUUUACUGCUUUGUUGGGCUUCUCAGCUUUAGAACUUUUUUGAUGCAGUCACACUAAGGGACACAGGCUGAGCGGGCUGCUGCUGGAAUAACUCACUUUCAAAGGCAGAGAGUGAAUUUUGGUGCCUGUGCUGCAGGACUAGACCAACCUUGGUGUGAGGCACAACCCACGUGGGGUUUUGCUUGCGCUAGGGCUGCCAGCAGGGCACAGGGUGUGCUGAGGAGGUGGCAGGGAGGGAGAGCCCUACAGUGGUCUGGGGCUGCACAGAGACCCCUGUGCAAGAAAGUCUGUGUGGGGCAGGAGGGGCGGCUGAGGCAUCAGCAGCACCCAAGUGCAACACGGCUGUUGUGGUUAAUAGCUCUGUUCUUCCUGUUUAAACAAUUCUAGAACACUGUCAGAAAUAAUUAGUAUUCAAAGAUAUUUGUGAUGUAACUUGCUACCUGGCAGUCAUUAAUUUCAAUGACACUGGGAUGCUGUAACCUUCUCAAGCCUUUUCUUAUAGUAAUCAGAGUGAUCAGGAGAGCCAAUAUUUCACUCCAAAAAUUCUAGUUGUGAUGGAAGCCAGUGGUGUGGAGUACGGAGGCUACAGUUUUUGUGACCAAAGCACGCUCUCUUGUAAUGUGAGCUGGUAGGCUGCAAAGCUGGGUGUUUUCUAUUCGGACUUUCUUCAAUCUUUCUGUCAUGUGGCAGGUAGGCCUUAUAUGCACAUAGGAUCUUUUAUUUGCUGUUAGUACCAUGUAUACCAGUCAAUAUUCAGGAUGUGCUUAUGUUGUGUGCUGUCUAACAUUGUAUCUAACAUCACUGGAGCAUGCUUGGUCAUGUGUCAGGAGAGAGAAGGGUCACCAUGCUUUCCUGUUCUUCUUAGCUUUGAAAUGGGUGCUGAAGUGCUUGGGACUCCAGUGGACCACAGUAUGGCCUGAGGGACUGUGAGGAGUGUUUGAGGGUGCAGGAAUUGCUGGAAUAGUGAUGGACUGUGUAGGAGCAGAUGAAGUUCAAUCUGACAGAGCAGUUUAAACAUAUUGUUGUCACAGAACUGUCCUUGGAACAAGCUGUCCCCAGACGAACUACAGCACUGAAAGAAAACUGCUUAAUCCAACCCAAAAAUAGGCCCCAAGCAUAGACUAAUGUACAUAAAAUGUGCAUGAUCAGAGAAGAUCAGAGUACAGAAUGAACUGAAGAGAGUAGUCAUGACAAGGUAGAUGUACAUUUUAUCUUCAAGGAUAAUAUUAUCUUUGUCAAGAGAUAAGAGGAAUCUUUUUUCUUCUUUGCCUUAUUUUUUUUUUAA